rnacentral:rRNA from 1 species
CCUACGGGUGGCUGCAGUGGGGAAUAUUGCACAAUGGGCGCAAGCCUGAUGCAGCCAUGCCGCGUGUGUGAAGAAGGCCUUCGGGUUGUAAAGCACUUUCAGCGGGGAGGAAGGCGUUAAGGUUAAUCACCUUGGCGAUUGACGUUACCCGCAGAAGAAGCACCGGCUAACUCCGUGCCAGCAGCCGCGGUAAUACGGAGGGUGCAAGCGUUAAUCGGAAUUACUGGGCGUAAAGCGCACGCAGGCGGUCUGUCAAGUCGGAUGUGAAAUCCCCGGGCUCAACCUGGGAACUGCAUUCGAAACUGGCAGGCUAGAGUCUUGUAGAGGGGGGUAGAAUUCCAGGUGUAGCGGUGAAAUGCGUAGAGAUCUGGAGGAAUACCGGUGGCGAAGGCGACCCCCUGGACAAAGACUGACGCUCAGGUGCGAAAGCGUGGGGAGCAAACAGGAUUAGAUACCCGUGUAGUC